rnacentral:rRNA from 1 species
UACGUAGGGGGCUAGCGUUGUCCGGAUUUAUUGGGCGUAAAGAGCGUGUAGGCGGCCAGGUAGGUCUGCUGUGAAAACUCGAGGCUCAACCUCGAGACGUCGACGGAAACCGUCUGGCUAGAGUCCGGAAGAGGAGAGUGGAAUUCCUGGUGUAGCGGUGAAAUGCGCAGAUAUCAGGAAGAACACCGAUGGCGAAGGCAGCUCUCUGGGACGGUACUGACGCUGAGACGCGAAAGCGUGGGGAGCGAACAGG